AAAAUGGUUUAAUCCUGGCUAAAAAGGUCGCGUACAUCUGUGCCCGCAUGAAUUCUUUUGAGUGAAACCCCUUAUUGAUAAUUUUAAACAAUUAAGCCUUUAUGCUUUAAUAUCUUUACUCUCAGCGGAAAAUUUUAGAUCUUUAGCUGAAAUAGCCCUAGCCGAAUGUUGACAAAAUUAGUGCCAGCAGUCGCGGUUAGACUAAAAACAUAGACCUUUGCUAAGGUAAAAAAGUUAAUUAAAAAAAUUAUAGAUUACAGUCAAGAGAGAAGUGAAACUCUAACCUUAGGCAUAAAAAAAAUAAUGAAGCUUUAGACUCAAAGAUAUAAACUGGGAUUAGAUACCCCACUAUUCUCUGACCCCUCCCCUAAGGGUAAUAACUAGUUAUUUUCUUCAAACUCAAAGGAUUUGGCGGUGCUUAAUCUUCUUAGAGGAACCUGUCUCAUAAUCGUCACAACACGAAGAAUCUUACCCGCAGCUUAGCUCGUAUAUCGUCAUCUAAAUUCCCCCACAAGGAAGAUAUUUUAAAGGGGCACAAGUAUGUUAGAUCAAGGUGCGGCGCAUCCGCGGGCAUUAGAUGGGUUACAGUUUCAAUUUUAGCGAAUCUUUGCUUGCAAUGCAAGGUGAAAAUGGAUUUAACAGUAACCUAAAAAAUUAAUAAGAUCAGGUGAACCGGCUCUUAAGCAUGCACAUAUCGCCCGUCAUUCUCAUUACACGUGAGAUAAGUCGUAACAUAGUAGGGUGU
rnacentral:rRNA from 1 species